UUGCAGGAAAGCAGAAACAGUCCAGAAAAAGAGAAUGAGCUCUUGAAGAAAAACUGUGAUAAGCUGCAUAAGUGUCUUCUGUAUGACCCAUGAACAGCAGUGGAAAUCAAAGGAACAGCAAAUGAAACUGCAAAUUGCUAAACUAGAGAUGGCUAUCAAAUCUGAUUUAACAGACAAAAAUGCAAUCCUUGACAAGAUCAAAGUAGAAAGAGGAAGUUGAAAAACCUGGAUUAAAAUUACAUCACUUGGUUUUACUAAGUCAUGAAUUACAUUAGAUGAAAUAAAGCAGCUGAGUUUAGAAUGCAGAUGAAACAAUUUCCCUGCAGAGGACACUCCACUGUCAGUUCAAACCCAACAGGUAGUCAGAAGAGUGAGUGUAACUAGCACUGGUGAGUGGGACCUAUCCCUGAGCAGUGCUCAGUGAUACCCCAGAAAAUGAGCAGGAACUUGAAUGUGAAGAUACUGAUUUUGCUGGAUCUGUUUGAAAGAGAAGCAAAGAAAUAUAAUUGAACAAGACACUGAUGUUUUUGAUUCACAAGAUGAUAGUGCAGUAAUUGGAAAGCUCAAAGGAACAGUGGAAGCCCUCCAUGCGCUGCCCUCAGUCGAGAGGGGAAUGCAAAGAUGACUACGAGGCAUGAAAGGAAGUUUGCCUACAGAAGAUCCUUCUCCCAGUGUAAAUACAUGCUUGAUAGUGCAUCAAAGAUGAGAUCUUUGUAAUUCCUACAGUAUAUUUAAUGUAUAAUUUAUAUGAAAAGGACGCUUGAUUUGUAGUUGUAAAGUUUUGUAUACUUUUCAGUCUGUUUGUUUUUAUAUUUCCCCCCUAGGCUAAGAAUAUCUCCACAAUGGACAACGUCUUGUAAAUAAUUAAUACCUACAUGAUUGAACGAUGUGCUUUAUUUGCAUUUUUAAGAUUUUUUCCUACACAUAACAGUAAUAAAAAUGCAAGUCAAAAUUUUAAUUUUUAAUAAAAAAACCAUAAGCCUUAGAAAACUGAUUAAAAAUACUUUUAUGUUAUCCCUAAUCACCCCGCUAAAUGGAAUGCCUGUGAUUAGCCUCAUUAAGAAUUUUAUACUGUGAAGAUUUUAUUAAAAGCAAUAUAUGAAAAUUACUUGGAUUAAUGUGUUAAUCUGCCUCUUUAAAAUGCUAAUAUCCAUUUUAUGCACAUUAAAUCUCAGUAUGUGUUUUCUUUGAUGCAUGCAGUUCCUAUCAAUUAAAUAUAAAAAAUUAGGCUAGUUGCAGGACUUAUUAAAUUACUGCAACCUUUUUUUAAAUAACUUUUACUCUUCUACUAACAUUAUAAUCAGCUGUUUAUGGUUACCAUAAUUUGAAGUAGGGGGAGGGCAGGCGCAAUCAUUUUCUGUACAGUAGAUGAUUUACUUGUAGCCAACAUCUGUCAAAGCACAAAAAGAAGCUAUGGAGUAUCAGAUUUUGCUUCACCUACUCUGGGCUUUAGGGAUGGGCAACUAUUUUCAUUUGGGUUUUGUCACUUUUAGAACUUACAUCAAACAUAUACAAUAAUUUGUUGUAUCUGAAUAACCACUGUCUAGUGUGGAAAGUUAAUUUUACAGCUUUUAACCAAUCUCAGUGAAGGAUUUAAUUGAUAUUUUUAAUGGAGCUGUGAAUCAAUGCUGCAAAAGGAUUGUUUCUUGAGAACGAGGAUAUAAUACAUUUCAUUUUUUAAUUUACUUUUUUUUAUUUGUCAUUUUCUUCAAAGGAUUUUAUAGUCUGUGGAUUUCCACUGUUUGCAAACAGGCUAUGUUUCUUCAUAAGCAUAUGUAAAGUAUUCAGAGAGAUAAGUAAUUUAUUAAAAUCUACCUAAUUUGCCGUGAUAUAUUAAAUCUCUGCUUCAGUGAUCACAGACCAUUUCAUUUAGAGAAUUAGGCAUUCCCUCUUUGUGUGAUUAAAGCUCUGGAAAAUGAGUUCUUUGCUCCUAUUUGUGAACAUUCAAAGCCUGCUAAUGGCAAGAAGAUGGAAUAGAUUAUGAGACAAUUCAUUACAGUUCAACAGAAAAAAAACCUGCUAUAAUGCAGAAAUGCAAGUAUGAAUAUCUGCAUAUAGUUUGAACCAUCUGUGCUCUAAUGGCUUCAGUAAUGGCUCUUCGUCUUCAGUAGGCUUUGAAAUGACAUCCAUACAAUAUUAAUUUGUUGAUGUACAUUAUGAGGCCAAUGGAAUGAAUAUAUUCUGACCACAGAAAUCUCUGAAUUCCAACAUGGUCUGCUGGUUGACUCCAUUUUAGGACCUACCAUCUUCAGUAGUACUUCUCAUCCAGACUUAGCCAAUCCUCACAGCGUUUCAUUCCUCUGGAACUUUAGGAGACCACAGACAGCUGCAUUCCUAAACCCCUCCAUUCUUCACUUAAUGGCCAUAUGUUUGUUGUCAUUUGGGCUGGCACUUAGUUCAUCAUUUUGGCCACUAUUUCUAGCUUUUUUUGGCUCUGUGCAUCUAUAUUGUCAAUAAGACUGUUAUUAUACAUUACAAUAAUUUGAAACAGCCAGAUUCAACACUGAGAUUAACUGAGUGGCUUUUUAGAAAUUUAGUUGUGGUAUUCUGUCAGGAGGUUCUUAUUAUUCUUCUAAUACUUUGCAAACCAAACUAAAUAUCCUGCACAUAAACAAAGAAGCGAAUUGUAUUGAGUUUUUGUCUGUGACUCUUUACUGACUUGCAGGAGAACUAUGUUAACUGGUGCUUGUUUUCUUCUGAAAUAAACCAUGUGGUAAAAUUAGAAAA